rnacentral:tRNA from 1 species
GGAGCAUGCAGGCCGGGUGGCCGGCCGCCCGGCUGGAAAUCGGGAGGGCCCUUCGGGGCUCGUGGUUCGACUCCACCCUGCUCCG